AUCCCAGCCCUUCCAUAUCCUUAAAUGUUUGUUUGAUCUGGAGUUGUUAAUUUCCAAGAAGCAUGGAACCAUUAACAGCAGAAGAAGAGGAAGAUGGAAAGCAUUAUUAUUCUACAAAUAUUCUGGAAAUGACUAUCCAGGUUGAUGUGGAACACUCAUUUGAGCAAGAAACCAAGAGCCACUUCUGCCUUCCAAGGACGACGGUAGUGAGCUGUUGAAGAGCCUCGACCUCGGACCUUCAUGGGGGGGCUGAGCUGUUGUGGAGCCUCAGCCUUGGACCUUUGUGGGGGCUGACCUGUUGAAGAGCCUCAACCUUGGACCUUCAUGGAGGGCUAGGAGUGGCAUCAGACCUUCACCACUGAUUGCCGCAGUAGUGCCGUCCAUCACGAGGGUUCAUGUAAAAACAAACUGCUAGUACGCACAAUGCUGGGAAAAAAGGCCUCGAAAAUGGGACUAAGCAAAAAAUAAGGUUAAGGCGUGACAAUUACUAUCCUUGAAGUAGAUUUCCCUUCUUCGGGUAUUAAACUCGGUGCAAAGGGACUGAUGACCUAUUUCGAUAAAAGGAAAGAAAAAAAAGAAUAUCUCUAUAAAUAUUCUAUGUUAAAAAAAGUUUCGAGAUUGUGAACACGUGGUUUAAAUGUGAGAAAAAAUUUUGAGAUUGUGAACUCGUGGUUUAAAUACGAGAAAGAACAAGAGACACUUGUAUAGCAA